CUUGGUCAUUUAGAGGAAGUAAAAGUCGUAACAAGGUCUCCGUUGGUGAACCAGCGGAGGGAUCAUUACCGAGUUUACAACUCCCAAACCCCUGUGAACAUACCUUAUGUUGCCUCGGCGGAUCAGCCCGCGCCCCGUAAAAAGGGACGGCCCGCCGCAGGAACCCUAAACUCUGUUUUUAGUGGAACUUCUGAGUAUAAAAAACAAAUAAAUCAAAACUUUCAACAACGGAUCUCUUGGUUCUGGCAUCGAUGAAGAACGCAGCAAAAUGCGAUAAGUAAUGUGAAUUGCAGAAUUCAGUGAAUCAUCGAAUCUUUGAACGCACAUUGCGCCCGCCAGUAUUCUGGCGGGCAUGCCUGUUCGAGCGUCAUUUCAACCCUCAAGCCCAGCUUGGUGUUGGGAGCUGCAGUCCUGCUGCACUCCCCAAAUACAUUGGCGGUCACGUCGAGCUUCCAUAGCGUAGUAAUUUACACAUCGUUACUGGUAAUCGUCGCGGCCACGCCGUUAAACCCCAACUUCUGAAUGUUGACCUCGGAUCAGGUAGGAAUACCCGCUGAACUUAAGCAUAUCAAUAAGCGGAGGAAAAGAAACCAACAGGGAUUGCCCUAGUAACGGCGAGUGAAGCGGCAACAGCUCAAAUUUGAAAUCUGGCUUUCGGGCCCGAGUUGUAAUUUGUAGAGGAUGAUUUUGAUGCGGUGCCUUCCGAGUUCCCUGGAACGGGACGCCAUAGAGGGUGAGAGCCCCGUCUGGUUGGAUGCCAAAUCUCUAUAAAUCUCCUUCGACGAGUCGAGUUGUUUGGGAAU
rnacentral:sRNA from 1 species